UAACUGAUAGUUCAAUUGGUAGAACGGCGAAGUUAAUUCGUAUGUCGUGGGUUCGAGUCCCACUCAGAUAA
rnacentral:tRNA from 1 species